rnacentral:rRNA from 1 species
UACCAGCACCCCGAGUGGUCGGGACGAUUAUUGGGCCUAAAGCAUCCGUAGCCGGCCUUACAAGUCCCCCGUUAAAUCCACCUGCUUAACAGAUGGGCUGCGGAAGAUACUAUAGAGCUAGGAGGCGGGAGAGGCAAGCGGUACUCGAUGGGUAGGGGUAAAAUCCGUUGAUCCAUUGAAGACCACCAGUGGCGAAGGCGGCUUGCCAGAACGCGCUCGACGGUGAGGGAUGAAAGCUGGGGGAG